UGCAAAUGUGCUCAUUAUGAGCUGAUUAUGUAAUGCAUUGAUCAUUUCAACUGCGUCCCCAGGCAAAAAAAUACAUAGACAUAGGCACAUAAAUAUGCUACACACAGGCUAAAAGCAACGCAACUGCAACGUCCACAGCAAGUUCGACACACGAAAAUUGCUCAUAAAAUACUAAAUGGAAACUAAAAUACAACGGAAAAUUCAUUCAUAAACACAUUGUAUUUAUCUUUGGAUGUCUGCUGGGGCAGGCAAAGGCACUCAAGACUCUGGCAGACGGCAUGGCGGAGCACUUGUAUGGGAAAUAUUCACAAUUACCGCGAAUAAAUUGGGGUAAUUAGGUAAUAAAAA